AGUGAACGCUGGCGGUAGGCCUAACACAUGCAAGUCGAACGGCAGCACAGUAAGAGCUUGCUCUUACGGGUGGCGAGUGGCGGACGGGUGAGGAAUACAUCGUAAUCUACUUUUUCGUGGGGGAUAACGUAGGGAAACUUACGCUAAUACCGCAUACGACCUACGGGUGAAAGCAGGGGAUCUUCGGACCUUGCGCGAUUGAAUGAGCCGAUGUCGGAUUAGCUAGUUGGCGGGGUAAAGGCCCACCAAGGCGACGAUCCGUAGCUGGUCUGGGAGGAUGAUCAGCCACACUGGAACUGAGACACGGUCCAGACUCCUACGGGAGGCAGCAGUGGGGAAUAUUGGACAAUGGGCGCAAGCCUGAUCCAGCCAUACCGAGUGGGUGAAGAAGGCCUUCGGGUUGUAAAGCCCUUUUGUUGGGAAAGAAAAGCAGCAGGUUAAUACCCCGCUGUUCUGACGGUACCCAAAGAAUAAGCACCGGCUAACUUCGUG
rnacentral:rRNA from 1 species